rnacentral:lncRNA from 1 species
GAGUGAUAAGGUUUCGGGCCACCACCGCAGCGGUCAUAUCAUUCUUCACCACUGAAUCCCCAACGGUAAGAGGACCAGUAGGGGAUAUGAAGGAUGGGCGCCAUAUGUUGUCUGGAGAAGAAGGGACUGCCUCUUCACCAAGAUUCAAGUCAAAACGACGGUCGGAGGGUCCAGACAUUUUCAAAGUAUUGAAGGAAGAAGAAAACGGACAAAUCAAGAUCUUAGAAGUGCAAGAA